GCUGAAGGGUUAGAGGCCAUGGCAUUUUGAAGCAACAGACCCUGCUGCUGUCUACUUUAGACUGGAAGCAGCUUCACGAGUGGGCACGUGCCAGGUGGCACAGGAUGCUUUCUGUAGGACGCGAGUGGGGAGAGGUGGGCCUGUGGAGGGACAUCAAUCUGAUCAACCAUCCCAUCCCGUAGUGUGGCUGUGGUGACUGGUGCAUUGGCAGAAGACGGAUGACUCAAUCUCCCAUCCGCAGGCUGUGCGCGUCCCGGGAGGAGGACCCGGCAGAUGUGAGAGGAGGAAGAUGGAAGUCCUUCAGAGAGCUGACCUGGCCUUGAAUGUAAAAACUGAAUAUUAAGAAUAAAUGAGGAAGUGAUGGACAGGGGAAUAAAACAGGAGAAUGAAGGAU
rnacentral:lncRNA from 1 species